rnacentral:rRNA from 1 species
AGCGUAGGCGGACAUUUAAGUCAGGGGUGAAAUCCCGGGGCUCAGCCUCGGAAUUGCCUUUGAUACUGGGUGUCUUGAGUAUGAGAGAGGUGUGUGGAACUCCGAGUGUAGAGGUGAAAUUCGUAGAUAUUCGGAAGAACACCAGUGGCGAAGGCGACACACUGGCUCAUUACUGACGCUGAGGCUCGAAAGCGUGGGGAGCAAACA